rnacentral:rRNA from 1 species
UACGGAGGGUGCAAGCGUUAUCCGGAUUCACUGGGUUUAAAGGGUGCGUAGGCGGGCAGGUAAGUCCGUGGUGAAAUCUCUGAGCUUAACUCAGAAACUGCCAUGGAUACUAUUUGUCUUGAAUGUUGUGGAGGUAAGCGGAAUAUGUCAUGUAGCGGUGAAAUGCUUAGAUAUGACAUAGAACACCAAUUGCGAAGGCAGCUUACUACACAAAUAUUGACGCUGAGGCACGAAAAGCGUGGGGGAGUCAAACAGGA